rnacentral:piRNA from 1 species
UCCUCUCUUUGUGGCGGCGAUCUGUG